GCACUGGCAAAAUCCAGUGUCGGGAUUGAGACCCCGUUUUACAACAGCGGCCUAAAACACGCAGCUAACAAGACCCCCAUCGUAACUUGACGACUUCUCU
rnacentral:sRNA from 1 species